AGAGUGAACGCUGGCGGCAGGCCUAACACAUGCAAGUCGAACGGCAGCACAGGAGAGCUUGCUCUCUGGGUGGCGAGUGGCGGACGGGUGAGGAAUACGUCGGAAUCUGCCUAUUUGUGGGGGAUAACGUAGGGAAACUUACGCUAAUACCGCAUACGACCUACGGGUGAAAGCGGAGGACCUUCGGGCUUCGCGCAGAUAGAUGAGCCGACGUCGGAUUAGCUAGUUGGCGGGUAAAGCCCACCAAGGCGACGAUCCGUAGCUGGUCUGAGAGGAUGAUCAGCCACACUGGAACUGAGACACGGUCCAGACUCCUACGGGAGCAGCAGUGGGAAUAUGGACAAUGGGCACUAAGCCUGAUCCGAGCCAUGCCGCGUGUGUGAAGAAGGCC
rnacentral:rRNA from 1 species